rnacentral:lncRNA from 1 species
UUUUGCUGGGGGCUGUUCAUUAACAUUUCUUUGAGGUGGACUUUGGCCUAGGGCCUUUUCGGGACUUCAUUAACAUUCCAUGAGCUGUCCUGCGUUUCCCGGAAUCAUUGCCAGCAUGGCCUCCAUUUUAGAUUUCACUCGGCAUUAGACCCGAUUUAUCUAACUACACUGGCUACCUAACUUUAAAUCUGGCUUCAGUAUUAGUGUGAACUCUUGGAAAACAGGAUGGAAACCUAAUUUAUUUCUUGACCUGAUUUCCCAGAAAUCUUACAGUGUGGCUUAUAUCUGUGAUGCCUUUAUUCUGAAGGGAUCAUGAAUUUACAAACUAUUUUUCUAAAGAAAACAGUGUUGCACUUUUUU